CCCAUCCAGUUCUUGGAUUCCCAGUUGGAAUUGUUGGCAUUGCUGGAGAGGCCGUUAAAGCUGCAAAAUCUAUUGGAGUAGAUGCUAUUCACGGAGUUAAACAUGCUGUAAAGAAUCUCGUCUCAAAUAUUGGUUAACUUCUCUCGAGUAAAUCAGCCAGCACAAAUUUCUACCUCAAAUAGUAGAUGGAAGAAAAGAUGCUCCAAUAGUCAUAUACUCUCUUUUAGUAUAAUUUAUUAUCGAUAUGUAAUGAAAAUACGCAUGUACACUUAUUCAAAUAAAAGUACAAUUUUAAAAA